ACCCAGUUAAUUUCUGCCAUGCUCAAAUGUAUCUUUCUGCACGUCUGACUUAAAUAUUAACAGUGCUUUGCAUCGCCGGCGCUUUUCCUGUGCUCAGCUUCAGUGUAGGGCUGGGGGGAAAAGUGGCUGGGGGGCAGAGGCUGCUUUUAACAUCUCUGAGGCGCUAAAAUCGAAUAAAUCAUUGGCUGGAGCUGCUUCCACUCCGAAGCAGGCUGAGUUUCACCUCCUGGAGCCACGGCCCAGCCUCAGCGAGCCUCUGCCAGGGGCUGGUGAGCAGAGAGGACGGGACAGCUGAGCUGACGAGGACUGGGAGCUUUAAUUGCACCUCUGGUGAUGAAAUACGGAUGGAGCUGGAGCUGGAUGGGACUGAGCCACCCAGGGAAGAGCUGCAGAGAAGGCUGUGGUGACCAUGACCUGGUGAUCCAUGGACUCCAGAGCCUCCUGAGGUGCCCACGGGGCUGCAGGGCCAGGAGCCAGCCUGAGGAUCCAGGGGCUGCUCGAGCAAAGCAGCUGCACCACGCCGAGUCUGCUCCAGGCCCGGGGAAAAUGACAAAAAGGCAACAUUUGCCAGGAAAGAAUGCAGAACUAAGUGGGGAAAAUACAUUUUAAUGAAAUGCAAAUAUGUUUCCCGGCAUCUAGGAGAGAAUUAAAAGCAUAAAUAAAUAAAUGGAA